rnacentral:rRNA from 1 species
UACAGAGGUCCCAAGCGUUGUUCGGAUUCAUUGGGCGUAAAGAGCUCGUAGGCGGCUUUGUCAGUCGGGUGUGAAACCUCCAGGCUCAACCUGGAGCCGCCACCCGAUACUGCAAUAGCUAGAGUCCGGUAGGGGAGCAUGGAACUCCUGGUGUAGCGGUGAAAUGCGCAGAUAUCAGGAAGAACACCAGUGGCGAAGGCGGUGCUCUGGGCCGGAACUGACGCUGAGGAGCGAAAGCGUGGGGAGCAAACAGG